rnacentral:tRNA from 1 species
GGAGGGGUGGCAGAGUCCGGUUGAAUGCGCAUGACUCGAAAUCAUGUUUGCCCUCACGGGUAACGGGGGUUCGAAUCCCUCCCCCUCCGCCA